GGGUGCGAUCAUACCGGCGUUAAUGCACCGGAUCCCAUCGGAACUCCGCAGUUAAGCAUGCUUGGGCUAGAGUAGUACUGGCAUAGGUGACCUCCGAGGAAGUCCUAGUGUUGCACCCU
rnacentral:rRNA from 1 species